rnacentral:rRNA from 1 species
UACGAAGGGGCUAGCGUUGCUCGGAAUCACUGGGCGUAAAGCGCACGUAGGCGGAUCUUUAAGUCAGGGGUGAAAUCCUGGAGCUCAACUCCAGAACUGCCUUGAUACUGGGGAUCUUGAGUCCGGAAGAGGUGAGUGGAACUCCGAGUGUAGAGGUGAAAUUCGUAGAUAUUCGGAAGAACACCAGUGGCGAAGGCGGCUCACUGGUCCGUACUGACGCUGAGGUGCGAAAGCGUGGG